GACGAACGCUGGCGGCGUGCCUAACACAUGCAAGUCGAACGAGGUCCAUCCAGUGGCAACACCGGUGAAGACCUAGUGGCGAACGGGUGAGUAACACGAGAGGAACCUGCCCCGAAGACCGGGAUAACCCUCCGAAAGGAGAGCUAAUACCGGAUGUCCCCACCUGGCCGCAUGACCGGGUGAGGAAUGGAUUCCGCUUCGGGAGGGCCUCGCGGCCUAUCAGCUUGUUGGUGGGGUAACGGCCCACCAAGGCAUCGACGGGUAGCUGGUCUGCGAGGACGAUCAGCCACACUGGGACUGAGUCACGGCCCAGACUCCUACGGGAGGCAGCAGUGGGGAAUCUUGCGCAAUGGGCGAAAGCCUGACGCAGCAACGCCGCGUGGGGGAUGAAGGCUCUCGGGUUGUAAACCCCUUUCAGCAGGGACGAACUAAGACGGUACCUGCAGAAGAAGCCCCGGCUAACUACGUGCCAGCAGCCGCCGUAACAC
rnacentral:rRNA from 1 species